rfam:Jatropha curcas cultivar GZQX0401 scaffold905_13, whole genome shotgun sequence.
CAGUAAGAGGAAUGAUGUAUUAUUAUCGAGCUCUUAAGAUGCUGGCUUUUCUUGAUUCUGCUUCAGAGGUGGACAUCAGGG